rnacentral:misc_RNA from 1 species
UCCGAGUUGACCCCGGCAGUCUCCCAUGAGUCCCCGCCAUAACGCGCUGGCAACAUGGAACGAGGGUUGCGCUCGUUGCGGGACUUAACCCAACAUCUCACGACACGAGCUGACGACAACCAUGCACCACCUGUGAACCGGCCCCAAAAGGAGAAACCACAUCUCUGCGGCGGUCCGGUCCAUGUCAAGCCUUGGUAAGGUUCUUCGCGUUGCAUCGAAUUAAUCCGCAUGCUCCGCCGCUUGUGCGGGCCCCCGUCAAUUCCUUUGAGUUUUAGCCUUGCGGCCGUACUCCCCAGGCGGGGCGCUUAAUGCGUUAGCUGCGGCACGGAAUCCGUGGAAUGGACCCCACACCUAGCGCCCAACGUUUACGGUGUGGACUAC